GACGAACGCUGGCGGCGUGCCUAAUACAUGCAAGUAGGACGCAGUUGCGAACGGGUGAGUAACGCGUAGGUAACUACCUAUUAGAGGGGGCUGACUAUUGGAGACGAUAGCUAAUACCGCAUACUAGUAGAUUGACCUGCUUUGUAUUAGCUAGUAGGUAGGGGAAUGGCCUACCUAGGAAACGAUACAUAGACGGGCUGAGAGGGGGAUCGGCCACACUGGGGAUGGGACACGGGCCAGACUCCCUCGGGAGGGAGGAGUAGGGAAUCAUCGGACAUGGGGGGAAACCUGAACGAGCAACGGCGCGGGGGUGAAGAAGGUUUUCGGAUCGGAAAACUACUUUGUUAGGGAAGCGGUACUUGACCAGAAAGGGACGGCUAACUACGUGCCAGCAGCCGCGGUAAUUC
rnacentral:rRNA from 1 species